GCCUUCGUGAUGGAACUGGUAGACAUCCUGGUUUUAGGAACCAGUGCUAUUAAAGGCGUGUCGGUUCAAAUCCGACCGAAGGCA
rnacentral:tRNA from 1 species